AGGACGAACGCUGGCGGCGUGCUUAACACAUGCAAGUCGAGCGGUGAACUCCUUUCGGGGAGGGAUCAGCGGCGAACGGGUGAGUAACACGUGGGCAACCUGCCCCUAGCUCUGGGAUAACUCCGGGAAACCGGGCUAAUACCGGAUAUGACUUCCUACGGCAUCUCGGGAAGUGGAAAGACUUUCGGCUAGGGAUGGGCCCGCGGCCUAUCAGCUUGUUGGCGGGUAACGCCCACAAGGCGACGACGGGUAGCCGGCCUGAGAGGGCGACCGGCCACGACUGGGACUGAGACACGGCCCAGACUCCUACGGGAGGCAGCAGUGGGGAAUAUGCGCAAUGGGCGAAAGCCUGACGCAGCGACGCCGCGUGAGGGAUGGAAGGCCGUUCGGGUUGUAAACCUCUUUCAGCAGGGACGAAGCGCAAGUGACGGUACCUGCAGAAGAAGCACCGGCCAACUACGUGCCAGCAGCCGC
rnacentral:rRNA from 1 species